AUGCAAAUGAGAGCCGCGCCAGGAGCACCCUGGGUCCUGCUCCCUGUGAGGAUUUUAUCUAUAGCAGAGAGAAAAAGAAGAAAUCCUCUUCAUACACUGUACAGCUUCACUGAAAGUAGCCAGCAGGGAGAUUGGCCUAUAAAUACUAUGAGCACAUUAAGUUUUUCCCUGUGAACCUCCGGCCUCCUUUGUGGGAUGCUUGCCCUCACCAUGGCACAUGAGAAGCCCAAGUAAGGACUUAAGACUGUGAACAAGGAUCUCAUUAUUUUGACAAUUGCAGGGUAAGAUGAGUCACAUAACAAUCCCAUAAUGUACACCUGGAUCAGGUUCUAGUGUGGUGGCAGUGUGUGUGAGAAUGGAAAUGGAGGAGGGGGAUUGGGAUGGUCCAGCAGGAGACAGAAAGUUUAGCUUUUCAAAAGGUUCCUCCUUGAUCCUUAGCUCCAGAACUGUGCUCCCAUAGAUCACAUUUCAACGCAGUUAGAAAAUUGCAAUUUACUUUGGUCAUUUCCUGACCACUACACUAGACUUUCUUUGGCUUGAUUGUCUGGCCCCCACCCCUUUUGCAGGUCUGAUUAUAUUGAAAUCAAAAGAGAUGGGGCAGGCAAAACCAAACUCGUUUUGUGAAAAUAGACCCUUUCUUCAUUUAGGGCCUAAUUAUUCAACUUCCCUUAUAUCCUAGUAAAUCUUUUGCUUUCAUUCUUUAAUAAGAAACAAAUCUUGCAUGUCUUGAUUAGUUAGAUAAUUUUAGAGCUUUUCUUGUGUUACUGUAAAACAAAGUAUUUUUAAAGACACAUCUGUGGGCAGCUAAUUUAAGUAGGGCAUUCUCUGUAUUUAGGGAGAGAUAAAUUUCACUAAAGAAGUUAAUCUUGGGUUACUCUUUCUUUCAAGUCAAGGAAUUUGAUACUUGUGGCAGAGGCCACUGAAGGUCCAAAACUAGAUGUCACUUCUCAGCCUCUCUUGCAGCUAGGUGUGGCUUUCCUUGCCUGUGAGAUAUGAGUGGAAGUCACUGCUCCUCUCCCAGGCCUGACUUGUAAACAUCUCCCGUGGGCAAGCCCCAUUCUCUUCUACAUUUCUCUGUUGAAUGGAGAGAUUCAAAGACUUGAAAGAGAUCAGAGUUAGAGAAUAAAGGAAACUGAGUCCUGAGAAACUUUGUAGAG
rnacentral:lncRNA from 1 species